rnacentral:ncRNA from 3 species
UUCUGCCCAGUGCUCUGA